rnacentral:ncRNA from 1 species
CAAAGGUUUGGUCCUGGCUUUUUUAUUAAUUGUUAGUAAAAUUAAACAUGCAAGUAUCGCCCUCCCAGUGAGAAUGCCCUUCUAUUCAACAAGAAUUGCAGGAGCAGGCAUCAAGCACACCUACGGUAGCUCACAACGCCUUGCUUAGCCACACCCCCACGGGACACAGCAGUAAUUAAAAUUAAGCAAUAAACGAAAGUUUGACUAAGUUAUACUAACCGAUCUAAGGGUUGGUAAAUCUCGUGCCAGCCACCGCGGUCAUACGAUUAACCCUAACUAAUAAACCUCGGCGUAAAGAGUGUAGAAGCUAGUACUAAAAUAAGGUCAAACUCUGUCUAAGUCGUAAAAAACAACAGACAAAGGUAAGCCCACAGACGAAAGUAACCUUAGCAAGCCUAAACACACCAAAGCUAAGGCCCAAACUGGGAUUAGAUACCCCACUAUGCUUAGCCGUAAACAUAAAAAUUUUAAAACAAAAAUUUUCGCCAGAGAACUACUAGCAACAGCUUAAAACUCAAAGGACUUGGCGGUGCUUUAAACCCAUCUAGAGGAGCCUGUUCUAUAAUCGAUAAACCCCGAUAAACCUCACCACUUCUUGCUAAUUCAGUCUAUAUACCGCCAUCUUCAGCAAACCCUAGCAAGGAUGAAAAGUAAGCACAAUCACCCCAUAAAAACGUUAGGUCAAGGUGUAGCCAAUGGAGUGGAAAGUAAAUGGGCUACAUUUUCUUACCACAAGAAAAUAAUAAACAGUAAUCUUUAUGAAACCUAAAGAUUUAAGGAGGAUUUAGUAGUAAAUUAAGAAUAGAGAGCUUAAUUGAACUAGGCCAUAAAGCACGCACACACCGCCCGUCACC